rfam:Tetrahymena thermophila SB210 genomic scaffold scf_8254377, whole genome shotgun sequence.
UGUCCUUCUCGGCGUAAAAGCUGAGAUCGAUUGUAGUAUCUGUUCUUAUCAGUGUGAAAACUGAUAGUGUCUCAUCCACAAGAGACAUUUUCACAUUAAUUUCUCUAUGGGGUUGGAUAAACUAGUGGCUAGCCCUAGUCCCAACAAAGUUGUGUUUGGUUUGCACUCUACCAAAAUUCAGCUAUCCCAU